GGAGUCAAUGCUUCAAAAGUAGGUAUCUGCCUGCCAAGUUCAUAUUUUCCUUUACUUCUCUUUGGUGGGAAUAGUAAUCCCUUCCACAUGCCUUUAGUUGUGUACGCCAUCAAAAAGUGUGGAAAAGAUGGCUGUCCGUGCAAACUUACUUGAUAAUUCAGCAUGAGCAAUGAGGCCUGUCCCUUUAAUGGAAAUGUCACCUUCCAAUGGAAGGAGGCCUUUGAGACUGGUGUGGAAUAUUCUCAGCAGUGUUUCUCUGGAAACUCUUUGCAGUAGCCAUGGAUACCCAGUCUGCAGGAAGCAAGAUACAUGAUCUCUGCAAAAGCAACACAUGCGAAUGUAUAUCCACUGGGUCGAUAGACUCCAGGCUGUUACAACUUCAGCCCAGGAGAGUCGCAGCCACGUUCGACUGACCUGGAAGCAAACAGAACCGAUACUGCGUAGUGCAAGCAUCCGCGAUAUAUCCUAGCUAGAGGAAGCGUUGGGCACGUGCACAUAGAAACCUGGAGGGCAGAUGAGCCACCUCGCAGGAGAAGAGAAACAACGGUUCACACGGAAUUGAAGGCAGCUAUGCUGGGAAGCCUCAGGCUCCUUUAGAAAACACCUUCUUCAUAUCUACAAACACCAAAUCCACCUUGUAGGAAAGACCAGAGAGGAAGCCCAGCAGAGCGGCGGGACUUCCGGAAGCUCUGCGAUCUACUCACGCAGUUGUGGUCUGCAUGUCGUGCCAGCUU